UCGUCGGAGGCCGGUGCAGCCAGUUUCGCCGGAUGACUGUCAUAGCGACUGUGAUUCGUCUUCCUCGGUUGUUGAUGAUGAUGAGGUCUGUGUGCUUGCUUCUUUCCGUAGAGCUUUGCCCUUUGAUCUUAACUUACCGCCACCGAUGGACCUCGUGGAUUUAACCGGUGAUGAUCUUCAAGCUACUGCUUUAUGCCUCUG
rnacentral:misc_RNA from 1 species